rnacentral:rRNA from 1 species
UACAGAGACUGCAAGCGUUAUUCGGAUUCACUGGGCGUAAAGGGUGCGCAGGCGGCCAAGUGUGUGAGGCGUGAAAGCCCGAUGCUUAACAUCGGAAUUGCACCUCAAACUACAUGGCUAGAGCAUUGGAGAGGGUAGUGGAAUUCCCGGUGUAGUGGUGAAAUGCGUAGAUAUCGGGAGGAACACCAGUGGCGAAGGCGACUACCUGGCCUGUUUCUUGACGCUGAGGCGCGAAAGCUAGGGGAGCAAACGGG